GAGAGAUACCAAAAGGAAGAAAAAAGAAAACCAUUGCUCUUGAUAUUGCUAAUGCCGGGGGAGGUAAGCUAACGAGAAAGUAGGGAAAAGGAAGGUUUUAGAGUUCACCUCCACUCCUUCCCCUGGCUAACACUCUUUACACUCUUCUGCCUUCCCUUGAGAUAAUUAAAAUAGACUGUACACCGGCCCUAGUCGGUGCCCAUUCCCCCUAACUCUUCACUCAACUACGUGUGUAGUCCGAGGGAGUGAGGACCCCGGGUCCAAGAGCUCAAUCCCGGCCCCGCCCCGUCGGCCCAGGCCCCGGGGCUGGGAGGAGAGGAUGCCUUCGGAGGCGCAGAAUCCGAAAAGAUGUGGUUGGAGCUGGAAGCUGUUAUCCUCAGCAAACUAAUGCAGGAGGAGAAAACCAAAUACUGCAAGUUCUCACUUAUAAGUGGGAACUGAAUGAUGAGAACAUUUGGACAUGACAGAACAGGGUGUGGAGACUCACAUCAUGAACUUUCACUCAAAGAACUACUGCAGGAAUAGACCAGAAAAGCUGAGAGAAUCUACAGACCCUUUGAAGGAAGAGGAUUACUCCUGCAGGACCCGGGAGAUAGCCCAAAUACUAAGCUGGGCAGAGAAAUCGAGCUGCAAAAUGACCUACAGAUAUUACAGUUUUAUUCUUGGAAAAUGGAGGUUGUCUAUUAGUGUGAUGGUAACAACCAACUAAUAAAAUUUGGAGACUAGACUGCUUGUCAUGUCUGGGGUUCACUGGAAAUCAAUGAUUCACUGGAACAAUUCUCCUGUCAAAAAAAAUGUGAGGUUUGUAACUUGCCCUAAGUAUAACAAGGGAUAUAUUUUAACAAAGGAUGUAUUUUUUCUUAAGAAGCAACCAUUUCUCAGCUUAUACAUAAUAGCAAUAAUAAAGUCUUUGACCC
rnacentral:lncRNA from 1 species